GGUCAAGUUAUUAAGGGUGCAGGGCGGAUGCCUUGGCACUAGGAGCCGAUGAAGGACGUGAUAAGCUGCGAUAAGCUUCGGGGAGUUGCACGUAAACUUUGAUCCGAAGAUUUCCGAAUGAGGAAACUCACUUAGAGUAAUGUCUAAGUAUCAUUAAGUGAAUACAUAGCUUAAUGAGGGGAACUCAGGGAACUGAAACAUCUAAGUACCUGAAGGAAGAGAAAGAAAUUCGAUUCCGUAAGUAGCGGCGAGCGAACGCGGAUUAGCCCAAACCAAUAAAGUUUUCUUUAUUGGGGUUGCGGACAUAUCAUAACGAAGAGGUAUCGUAAUUGAAGAGGUUUGGAAAGACCCACCACAGAAGGUAAUAGUCCUGUAUGUUAAACGAGAAGACUUUAGAUAUGAUCCAGAGUACCACGGGACACGUGAAACCCUGUGGGAAGCAGGAGGGACCACCCUCCAAGGCUAAAUACUACCUAGUGACCGAUAGCGUAUAGUACCGUGAGGGAAAGGUGAAAAGAACCCCGGGAGGGGAGUGAAAUAGAACCUGAAACCCUGCACUUACAAGCUGUGGAAGCACAUUUCUUGUGUGACCGCGUACUUUUUGUAGAACGGGCCAACGAGUUACGUUAAGUAGCAAGGUUAAGCACUUAAGGUGCGGAGCCGUAGCGAAAGCGAGUUUUAACUGAGCGUUCAGUUACUUGACGUAGACCCGAAACCGGGCGACCUACCCAUGAGCAGGAUGAAGCGAAAGUAAAAUUUCGUGGAGGUCCGAACCCACGAGCGUUGAAAAGCUCGGGGAUGACU
rnacentral:rRNA from 1 species